GGAAAUUAACCAACCCUCAAAGCACUUGCCGGCCGCGCCCAGCACACCCGCCAACUAUCGCAGGGAGCGUCAAGACUUGGGUUUCACGGCAGGCUGUAAGGUCCCGCCUCGCCCGCCACCCCAGCUGCUCCUCCGCCAGGCUGCAGGAUGCCACCACGCUGGCCACGUCCCCUGCACGACGCCCCACCACGCGGUACGGCACAGGCUUCCCACUCGCCCUGCAGUACCAUUUUUGUUGUAGCAGCGGUGAAGAGCAGCGAGGUGACAGUCCAGGUGGGACAGCCCGGGGCACCUCACCUGCAGAACGCCUCAAUCAUCUCCAGCACAGACACGCCGCGGCCCGUGCCCAGAUUGUACGACGCGUAGCCCCUGAACGACUUGCUGAAGGCCUUGUCGAGCGCCAUUACGUGACCCUCCGCCAAGUCCACCACGUGCACAUAAUCACGCACGCCUGCCAACCCCAGUACGCACCUGUCCCGUCUGGCGUGUCGUAGUCGUUACCGAACACACUGAGCUCCUCCCGCUUCCCGACCGCCACCUGGGCCACGAAGGGCAUGAGGUUGUUGGGGGGGCCAAGAGGGUCCUCCCCGAUGCGGCCCGACGGAUGCGCGCCCACCGGAUUGAAGUACCGAAGGGAAACCAGCCGCCACUCCUGCAACACCGCGACACAUGGGUUGGUGAGGCCGGCGCCGGUGGGAUGCUGCUCGUCUGCCGGCAGGUACUGGGGGGCCCCGUACACAGUAGCCGAGGAGGAAUACACCAGCCGAUGCACACCUGCUUCCCGCAUCACCUGACGGAGACUCCCCGACGGCCUUGAGUGCGGCGAAGUGAACCACGGCGUCCACCCGGUGCUGUGGGGUGCCGUGAACAGUGACCGGAGGAACAAAGGCGGUGCGCAGCGGGGAUAGAAGAGAACAACACAUUGGCGAAGAGAAAAUAUAGGAAUAAGAGGGUGAAGGAACAUAUCUUGCGUACAAUGGUGGAUAAAUUAGAUGCGGAAAGAAAUAAAAUAGA